UCCGGGCCAUGUGUCACUUCCGGGCCCCAGGAGGAAGAGGGUUGGUUGACUAGGCAACCACCUGGCGUCCCUUCUACCCUGGGUCGCUCUUCCGCCAAGUUUAAGUGAUGUGGCGAAAACCUUUCAAGCCUGGACAGAGACUUAAUCUUUCUUACAGAGUGUCGUUUAUCAACUAUCAGUGGAACUUUCGUCUGCUACUAGAGUGGGAGAAGUUUAAAUAUGGAGAUGUUAUUUAAUGACCCUCAGUCAAGGAACAGACCUUGAACAUAAUGUGGAAACAGCCAUGUGGAUUUCAAAGAUAUCUUGGAUCCAUUCUCUGUUUUUUUAAACAUGUCACUAAUCCUGUUUUAGUCUCUAAGGAAUCCACUCCUGGGAUGAGGUUUUCUGGCCUGAAGCACGUUAGAAUAUUUAAGUAUCUCUGUGCUUUUGAAUCUAUAAAUUUAUUUCUGUCUUCUGAGUCCAUAUGAUUGAUAGGACAGGUCUCUUGAGGGGAGGAGAAUUAACACUAAUUGCUUACUGUAUAGCAAUCACUGUGCCAGGUCCAGGCCAUUAUAUAAAGUAAAAACUCAUUUCACAUAUAAAUUAAAAUUUACAAACAGUUUAAAUAACUUGUCCAGCUAAUGAGCUGUAGAAGAUUUGCCUGCCACUUCAGAUGAACAUCCUUGUUUGCAAACUUUUAAAAUUUUAAAAGAAGAGCCGUCCAAUAAUAUUUUCUAUAGACAUGGAGCACAUAUGUGAAUGAUAAACUAAAAAUGAUCAUGUGUACUUAAGAACUGUGUAUGCAACCUUUUUAGUUUUUCAAAUAAUAACACUGAAGUUUGUGAAGCUUGUAGUUUUUUACAUUUCUUUAAAGGCACAGGUUUGUCGUCACAAAAGUUAAGCUAUUUGAAGUUAGGGAGGGAAACUAGAAUUUGUUGACAGGGAAAUCUGCUAUCUGAUCAUCUGUAAUUGUCAUAAGUAGCUCUGGUAACAUGAGUAAUAUUGUAGGCCUUACAAGAUUGAGAAAUUAUAAAAAUCCUCAGCUCCAUUAAGAUUUUGAUUAAUUUCAAGAUUAAUAUAAAAAUAGUGAUCUAGUUUUCACUCCAUGCACAUGGUUACUGAGCUCAACAAUUUUAUAUUUAUAAACUUUAUAAACUUUCAUGUUUUUUAUUAUUUUACUAGUUCUUAAGUAUUUUCUGUGUUUGGAUCUAAUACUUAAUAGCAAUAUAUUAAGCAAAUAUAGUGAUACAUUUAAUAGAUUAUAUAGGCAAUCAAAGAAAUUUCCCACCUAUUUAAGACACUUUCAGAAAUUACUGAAGAACCUAUAAAAUAGAGAAAGAAGAAAAUUUCACAAUUAGAUGAAGUAUUUAUUAUGGGGUAGGGUUAUUAGAGAACCUUUGUUUUUGUUUCAGUAUUCUCAUUCAUAAUUUCUUGGGUAAACAACCUUUGAACUAAAAUUUAAUGCUUUAUUUCAGCUGCCUUUCCUGUGGUUUAUAGAAUGUGCUUAAACUGGAAUUAGAUAUACAGAUUGGCAUUGUUCAGAGUCUGGGGUUCUUACAUGAGUUUCAUUUUCUUCACAUGUAGCAAUGAUGGCUUCCUCUGAUUGCUGUAGGGGUUAACUGAGAAAAUCUUUACCACAUAGAAGGGGCUAAGUAAAGAAACAUUAAAGGAAAUUGAUGAUGUCUAUGAAAAAUAUAAAAAAGAAGAUGAUUUAAACCAGAAGAAACGCCUACAGCAACUUCUCCA